AUCUGCCUUCAGGAGGGGGAUAACGACUGGAAACGGUCGCUAAUACCGCAUAUGCCUACGGGUGAAAGAUUUAUCGCCUGGAGAUGAACUCGCGUCAGAUUAGCUAGUUGGUGGGGUAAGAGCCUACCAAGGCGACGAUCUGUAGCUGGUCUGAGAGGAUGAUCAGCCACACUGGGACUGAGACACGGCCCAGACUCCUACGGGAGGCAGCAGUGGGGAAUUUUCCGCAAUGGGCGCAAGCCUGACGGAGCAAGACCGCGUGCGGGAUGACGGCCUAAUGGUUGUAAACCGCUUUUCUCUGGGAAGAUGAUGACGGUACCAGAGGAAUCAGCCUCGGCUAACUCCGUGCCAGCAGCCGCGGUAAUACGGAGGAGGCAAGCGUUAUCCGGAAUUAUUGGGCGUAAAGCGUCCGUAGGUGGUUAUUCAAGUCUGCUGUCAAAGCGUGGGGCUUAACUCCAUAGAGGCAGUGGAGACUGGAUGACUUGAGUGCGGUAGGGGUCGAGGGAAUUCCCAGUGUAGCGGUGAAAUGCGUAGAUAUUGGGAAGAACACCAGUGGCGAAAGCGCUCGACUGGGCCUGCACUGACACUGAGGGACGAAAGCUAGGGGAGCGAAAGGGAUUAGAUACCCCUGUAGUCCUAGCCGUAAACGAUGGAUACUAGGUGUUGCUCGUCAUCGACCCGAGCAGUGCCGUAGCCAACGCGUUAAGUAUCCCGCCUGGGGAGUACGCUCGCAAGAGUGAAAUUCAAAGGAAUGGACGGGGGCCUGCUCUAGCGGUGGAGUAUGUGGUUUAAUUUGAUGGAAUGUGAAGAACCUUACCAGGGCUUGACAUGUCAGGUACUUUGCCGAAAGGUGAGGGUGCCUACGGGAACCGGAGCACAGGUGGUGCAUGGCUGUAGUCAGCUUGUGUCGUGAGAUGUUGGGUUAAGUCCCGCAACGAGCGCAAUCCCACGUUAUUAGUUGCAGGCAUUCAGUUGGGCACUUUAGGGAGACUGCCGGUGACAAACCGGAGGAAGGUGUGGAUGACGUCAAGUCAGCAUGCCCCUUACGUCCUGGGGUACACACGUAUUACAAUGCUGUGGACAAAGGGCAGC
rnacentral:rRNA from 1 species